UAGCCGGUCCCAAGCCCGGAUAAAAAGAGGAGGGCCCACCAUGACCAUUUAUAUUGUUGUAAUGUUUAUUGUGUGUUUUUGUUUUAAAACAUAAAAGCAAAUAAUUAGUAAAAGACAAUAUCUUUAGGAAAUGCAAAACAUUUCCCCUUGUUUAUAGCUGGAUUGCAUUGAUACUAACAAUUGUAUUGCCAACCCCUUUUGUGUCUUGUGAGCUACUUCUAUACAUUUUUCUAUCUAUGUCUGAUAAGUGAAAUGCUAGAUCUCCUACUUUUUGAAAUUAAAACUUUUAAAUUCAUAUAGUUGUAGCUUUAUCUCUUUCUCCUGCUCUACACUAGUAAGUGUUGAGAUAAAGCUCGUACUCUUUGCUGAUACAUUGUGAUUUUUUCUUGCUUCUUUGGACUAAUUCGGUCCUUGUUUUAUGUUCUGCUUUUUGCUUUGCUCUCAAUUCAAGAAUCAUUACUAGCCUGAAUACUGGCUUGCUCAUGAGAAACCGUUCUUUUUUCCUUCUGAAAGGAGCUUAUGACAUGCUGCUAGAAAAAUUCUUUGUACCAUAUUUUGGACUCAAAAGUAAUAUAAAUAAAUGGACCAGUAUUUUUUCGUUGCCAUAUUGUACUAUGCGAUGCAAGUAAAUUGUGUGGCACUCUAUCUCCAACAGUAGCACCACCUAAAAUGCACCCCUGUUGCCCUGCCUUUUGGAGCAGACGAAGCUUUGUCAUGGUCUGCUCAUCGCAGAGGAUACAGGUGAACAUAUGGUUUGGUAAUUGGUACUUUAAGAUUUUAGGAGUCUAUAUAGUUUGGUAAUUGGUACUUCAGAAGUCUACUAGCUUUUGUCUGAUUGACAGAGAUGGUUUGGUAGCAACUAACUGAACAAUCAACUGCAGCUUUGUUUUUGGUAGAAACACUGCUGCUUGGUGGUCUCAUAUUGCAUCAUGUGCCAAUUCUGUGAUGUGUAAAGCAAUGUUUUGAAUCUGUGUCUAACUGAAUCCUUGUGUAUUUUCCCUUUGUCUCACUAAUUUCAGAUGGUUUACAGGAUCUGGCCCAGGAGACAAAAAGCUUGUUUCUGGAGUAGUGGAAUUCCUGGGUAGCUAUCUUGUUGAGCUGAGUCUUCUGGACUAGAGCUGUCUCCUGUCCUUGCUAUCAGUGAUUUCUGCUUCAUCAGUUUUUUCUUGCUAGGCUGACCAUUGGAUCAGACACUAAUCCUCGGAGCAAGGAAAUUCAGAACUUGACAGGCUACAGGGCAUCAGAGCUGAAGGACUGCAUUAUAGCCAUACAUGAUUUGCAGCUAAAUAUAAAGGGUUCAUCAUUACCAGCAAUUCAAGACAAAAGUAUAAGCAACGCAUGGUAUGCGCAACUCCAACAGUUAUGUGAUAUUCCUCUGAUAUUGUUUUGCUGGUAGUGUUAGUCUAAUUCUCUAAUCAUUUGGAGCUUUUCAAAUUUAUUUAGGUGCUAGUCUAUCACAAGUAAGAGGCCAUGCAUCCUCUUUGUAGAAUCGUACUUCUGUAUUACUAUCUUAGAACAUUGUGCCUUGUUGGUCUGUUUAGCCACAUAUCUGUAGUGGUUGAUAUAUGCUGAUCCAUUGCCUUUACUGAUUAUUUUUCUUUUGAUCUGUUACCUGUGAGUGCGCUUACAGUACCUACGACCUACCUUUCUACCAAUGGGUUGUACUCCCUCCGUAAAGAAAUAUAAGAGCAUUUAAAUCACUAAAGUAGUGAUCUAAACGCUCUUAUAUUUGUUUACAGAGGGAGUACUAGACAUAGGCCUAAAUAACAUAGCUUGCAUGAAUAAUCAUCAUGGUCUCUUUUUGACUAUUAUCAUCUCGAUAGCCUGCUAGUGUAACAUUCUUUGUUGAAUCAAAAUCCUAGAGAUCUGAGUCAUUUCCAAUGUAUGAUCAACCCAUUUGCUGCCUGUAAGUUUUUCACCUCUAAAUGACUGGUUACAAGUUUGAUGGCACACUAAACUUCUAUUGGGAUAUUCAAAAAAAGUUGCCGAGCAAUAUGAUGGCAGAUGGGCGGUCCUGGUUUUCUUCAGUCUGCUGUGCAAAGUUAUCUGCUUACUGUAAUUUUUAAUUGAUUACUGAUGUAUAGCUGUAUAAGACACCUUAAUGCUGAGCAUGAUUUCCAUUAGCCAUAUGCAUCUGGAUUACUAAUAUCCACAGUGAACUACUUGCAAGGCACCGUAAUUAUUUUUUUGUCUGGGGGGAACCUUGAUGCUACAUGGUUCUCAUCGGAACCUUCAUUUUUUGUUCUCUGUUAUUAUAAAUAUUGCAUCGCAUGUGUCUAUUCUUGCUAAUGAACUCGCAAGGAAAGUUCGUGCACCGGUUCAUUGCUUUUUCAACUUGAUGGACUAAAAUCAAAUGCAUGCGUCAAAUUGUUGCAUCCCACUGCAAUUACCUCGCUUCUUUGUUAUAUAAAUUACUACAUGUCUGUUAUUGCUAAUGGCAUUCUUCUGAACAGUGGCUACUAAUAUUGUGCACAAUACCGUACUUAGACCACUCCAGUUUGGAAAUAUAAGGUGUGUUCAAAAUUCCGAUGGUAAAAGAAGUGUGCUAUGGCAUCUCUACCCCUGAAGAAUAUCUAGCUUCAUUUGGUGCUCACUACAUGCAUGCACUGAAUAGUCCUUUUCAAUGUUUCCUUGGUCUUAAGUGCAAGGCAAAAUAUGCCCCUGGAUUUUUCGCGGAAUGGGUAAUUUAGGUUACCAUACUUGCUUGAUAAAUUUGUAUAAAACAUAGGUCAAGUUAGAUGACCUUACUGUUUUGUAUGAUACUUUGCGGCUUUCAGCUGGCUUCUCUGCUUAAUUUGCACAUAUUUUUUUUAACCAGAGCUUCAGUUAGCAGCAAUAUUCCCUGUGAGGAGGGUGCUGAACUCAAGAUGGCCAGGUAGCUACUGAUCGCGGACACGACCUUCAGACCCACGACCAUCAGAACAAAGUAGGAUGGAGACUUGAAUCUCAGGCUUUGGUAGGUUGAUGAUGUAUCAACUUUGAACGGCAGUACAAAAGUCCUGGUCAAGUUUGCUGUCCUUGUGAGUAAAGUGGCAUCAAGUGAUCACGACGCUGGAUGCAGUAAGAUGGCGGUGAUGAGCCGGAGAUGGCGGGAUCUGUAAAACUGUCAGGUUUCUUCAGUUAACGCCGCAAGAGUCUCAUGCAUGGUCUGGAAAAAGAAAAGAUUCAGUUAGCGUUGAGACCAUUUAAGGGGUGGCCUUGAUCUAAAAAAAAACUAUUUGAUGGACGAAUUUAGUGGAGAGAAUAGAUGGAAGACAAAUAGUGGAAAAGCAAAAGAAGAUUCCUCGGCCAAAAUGCUGAAUGGUGGACGAGUUCCAUGGCGGCUGAAUUUUUAAAAAUUCGAAAUUCAUAUUUUUACCUUUCAGUUUCUUUUUCUUUUCUUUUUUUGAAAAAACAUACACAUACAACCAGAGACAUAAUUCAUAUGUGUGUAAAUUUUCUGCAUUAAAAUGAGAGCUACAUAAAAAAUAUGUGGCUUUUCAACACACGCACUAUUCAUACUUAAAAGUCCAUGUUUUUGU